GCUUGUCUCAAGAUUAAGCCAUGCAUGUCUAAGUAUAAACAACUUUGUACUGUGAAACUGCGAAUGGCUCAUUAUAUCAGUUUUAGUCUACUCGAUAGUACCUUACUACUUGGAUACCCGUAGUAAUUCUAGAGCUAAUACAUGCAUAAAUACCCAACUGCUUGUCGGGCGGGUAGCAUUUAUUAGAUUGAAACCAAUGCAGUCUUCGGGCUGGUAUUGUGUUGAGUCAUAAUAACUGUGCGGACCGCAUUCGUGCGGUAAAUCGAUUGAGAUUCUGCCCUAUCAGCUUUGGAUGGUAGGAUAUGGGCCUACCAUGGCAUUAACGGGUAACGGGGAAUUAGGGUUUGAUUCCGGAGAGGGAGCCUUAGAAACGGCUACCACAUCCAAGGAAGGCAGCAGG
rnacentral:rRNA from 1 species